CCACAAAAACUUCGGACGAAAUCUCUAUCAUAUAUGCUAACGGAUGUCACCCUCUUCAGGAUGGCUCCGCCAAUGCGUCAGAAUCCGGAACGCAAUGAAGGGAGUCAGGCGAACCCUCCGCCACCACCUCCGCCUCCGGAGGCAUGGCAAGCUAUCAUGGCAGCCACCAACGCCAAUGCUCAGAUGAUUCUGCAACUCUUGCAAGAACGCACCCAAGGGCAAGGCAAUCAAGGAAACCAAGGCCAAGGCAACAAUCAGCCUCACUUCGCUACCCUCAACCAGUUUCUCGCAAAUCAGCCGAAGUCUUUC
rnacentral:rRNA from 1 species